GACAGAGGGUGCAACCGUUGUUCGGAAUUACUGGGCGUAAAGCGCGUGUAGGCGGCUCGGCAAGUCGGAUGUGAAAGCCCUGGGCUCAACCUAGGAAGUGCAUUCGAAACUGCAGAGCUUGAGUUCUGGAGAGGAAGGCGGAAUUCUCGGUGUAGAGGUGAAAUUCGUAGAUAUCGAGAGGAACACCUGUGGCGAAGGCGGCCUUCUGGACAGUGACUGACGCUGAGACGCGAAAGCGUGGGGAGCAAACAGG
rnacentral:rRNA from 1 species